GGAACGAAAAAGAAAAUUGUCUCACGGAGGGAAAUUUUGAAUUUUUUAAAGCUGUUAGCUUGAAGCUCCUCCCACAUUUUUCUUUUUAUCUUUGUUGACGUUACAAUUUCUAAAGAUUUAUUCGCGGAAUCUUGCUAUAGUUUAGGAAAUAAUUAUUUCCUAUUUUCAUUUAAGAUUUCCUAAGAAAUAGUCUUCCAAUCUUUUCCUGAAAGUUUCUUGAAAUUCAUAAAAAUUUGUAAUAUCGCACGAUAACGAAAAGAUCGUUUAUUCUUGACGUUUGUGUACAAAUUUCUUGAGAAUAUCGUAAAAAUACACAAUCGUAAAAAUACAAACCACGAUCGUUUGAACCAUCGAGAGACGACAUGUCAGUCGCCGGAAGUUUGCAGUGUUCGACAGCCCAGAAAACUGGAAAUCGUACAAGCCUUUAAAUGUCAACGAAAAUGUAAAAUCGUCGAAGUGAAAAUAUUGAGACAUCUGGCGAAAUGUUUGAUGGUCUCGCUGUAUGCGAUACCAUUUGCGUGGCUUGCAUUUGGUGCUGUUUAUUCUCAAAGUGCUUCCCAAAUUCCAUCAGCCUCGAGGAAGUCGAUUCUAGCGAACGUUGCAGUUGGAAAAAGCCCAGUGAGAAAGCAAAGAUGUCACGACUUGUUCAGUGCUGUUUGAGCUCUGCGGAAACUCUACUGCGCCAUAAAUCUUACGGAGGAAACAACUGUUUCAACGACGUUCAGAAGAAUUAUAAAUAUCGAGUAUCCAUAAGCGAAGAUCCGUCAGAAGAUUUAUAGCGUCGAUAGGAUUUGUUAAAAUGUCUCGUUACGACGAAGUAAAAAUAAAAAUCUCGUUAAGAUCAAAUAUGUAUUCCAAAUAUAUAAAAUAGUUAAUAGGAAA